rnacentral:rRNA from 1 species
GAUGAACGCUAGCGGAAGGCUUAAUACAUGCAAGUCGAGCGGUAGGUGGCUUCGGCCAUUAAGAGCGGCGCACGGGUGAGUAACGCGUACAUGACCUGCCUGUCAGAAGGGGAUAGCCCUGGGAAACUGGGAUUAAUACCCUAUGGUAUUGAUAUUAUGAAUGAUAUCAAUUAAAGUUGAGGCGCUGACAGAUGGAUGUGCGUCUGAUUAGCUAGUUGGUAGGGUAACGGCCUACCAAGGCGACGAUCAGUAGGGGGCGUGAGAGCGUGGUCCCCCACACGGGUACUGAGACACGGACCCGACUCCUACGGGAGGCAGCAGUAAGGAAUAUUGGUCAAUGCCCGCAAGGGUGAACCAGCCAUUCCGCGUAGAGGAUGAAGGCCCUAUGGGUUGUAAACUUCUUUUAGAUGGGAAGAAAAUGCUAGAUGUAUCUGGUACUGACGGUACCAUCAGAAUAAGCACCGGCUAACUCCGUGCCAGCAGCCCGGU